AGCUUUCAGGGAGUGUGUUCCAGAUAUGUGGUGCGUAGUGACUAAACGCUGCUUCACCAUUUUUCGUUCUGACUCUUGGGACUGGAAGCAGACCAGUACCUGAUGACCUCAGAGGUCGAGAUUGUUCAUAAAGUAGCAGCAGAUCAGCAAUGUAUUUUGGGCCUAAACCAUUCAGUGCUUUAUAAACCAUCAGCAGGAUUUUAAAUCCUAUUAACAAACUAUAGCCAAUGUGUAGUGUGUCCCUGUCAGUGAAGUUAUAGUCUAUGAGACUAGUGGUGUCUUUUUGGUUCGAGGUGAUCUCUUUCAGCUGCUGGUGGAGCCUGCAGGCAGUCCUCUGUUGCCCGGGAAACACAGAUGGUGGAUGAAGGGCGCGCAUACAAAGGAGUAUAAUAAACCUGUGGCAGCAGCUGGAGACCGAGCACGCUCAUUAAUUCAGCUCUGUGCUCUCCUGCUUCGUCAAAGACGUCGCUGUUCUCUUUAAUACUUCCCAUCCAUUCUCUUUGUCCUGUUGUGGCUUCCGGCUCCCACUUUAUCCUGUAUUCUCCCCGGACCGGACCAGUCACUGCGCAGCUGUUGUUGGCACUCCCCACAUCUGCUCGUCUCUGCUCGGCAGCCAUACAGACACACGACGCUCCUCCGCGGCUCAUGUUAGUGCGGAGCGUGUAGUCCAGAGGGCGAGCAGCCUUUUCCUGCAGGCGGCUGACAGAGCACACACACACGGCGUGGAUGUACAGGUCAGAGAGCGUUGACUCAACAUGGACGAAAAUAGAAAAAGAAGAAGAAGAAGAAGAAGAGGAAGAAGAAGAAGAAGAAGUGAUCGUUUCUCACGGUUUGAUGCUACGGAUAGGUGCAUGUGGCGCUGAAGAUCACUGGUGACCUUGUGGUCAGUGUUACAUGGACAGUGUGGAUUCAUCCCCAGAGCUGCUGACAUAUCUGAAGUCAGAAACGAGGAGGACCCGACAGCAGGACAGGUUAUGUGUACAGGCUGAGUUUUCUUUAGUAGAACCUUGAAGGAGGCUCAGUUUCAUUGUUCAGUAGUAACAUAUAGAGGGAUAACAGUGUUACAUAUAUAACUCUAAUUGAGCCAAGACUAUGUGACUUAUAUGGUAAAGCAGUGGGUGCAUUUUAGUCCCAUUUGUCUCAAAAAAGAGGUCAAAAAUUUAAAAGGGAAGAAGUCCCUGGGGUCUCUUUGGAGAACAGUUGAGUUGCGUCCCACUUUUUCUGCUGCUUUCUGUUCUGUUUCCUCUCCAGCUACAUCGAUGGAAAAGCAGAUCAGGGCUCGCACUAGACCUCAGCAGCUGCAUCAUCGCUCCAUCGCCCUCUGCUGCACUGCUUCACAAAGAGGACCCGUCUGUAGAUUUACACCACGCUGUUGUGUCGUACUUCCUGCUGUGAUCGACGCAUGGUGCCAUUCUUGCUGUCCCGUACCCUCAGGGGAACAGGAUCAAUGUUCCCGCAACAUGAGAUGAUUUCUGAUGCAUCUGUGUUUCAGUCAAAUAGGCUUCAAGUAGAUAAAACAAUCUUUGAAAUCACUGUCAGUGCGUUCACAUCUAACAGGAAGGUGUUUCACUGGAGUCCAAAAUGAUUUACUGCAAUGUUUUCUGCUGUCUUGUGACCAAUCCUAAUAUAGCCUCAUCCACCUGCACUGUAUUUUCUUUUUGUCUGAUCAAAAACACUGCAGCAGCCAAA